ensembl:lncRNA
CUCCCAAGAGUAACUUUUUAGAGGGCACGGACAAACACCAUAAAAUUUAUGAGGCGUUGCUGAGGUAGAUGUUUUAAAGUGUUGGAUUUUCCAGAUGCAUGAUGCCUCUUGCCUUAAAGUUAAAUUACCUGCGUGGCCACGAGGAAACUGAUGAAAGUCAGGUGUUUAAUUAUUUGAUCAAAAUGAGUAGAUUAGGUUUAGCAUUGAACUUCACAAACUAGCGAGGGUUGAUUAAAGACACUUCUUUUGUGUGGAGGAGAGAGGACCCAAACGCAAGAGCAGGUAAAGUCUGUUUUAAUCAACUUAGAAUGUCCAAAAACAAAAUGGCACUAAAGGCUUAAGAGGAGAGGUGCGGGCGCUUGGCCGGCGACGGGGAAUCCCAGAGAGUGCAGGGAACGAGCUCCAGGGCGAGGGUAGAGCACUCCAGACAGCAGGCCGCCCACGUCAAACCGGAGGCUGGGUGGAACAGAGGUUUGGACUCGGGCCACACCGUAAGGCGCGAACCGUACCGGACACGACAAGGCCGGAGAAACAAGACUACAGGUACGUCGGGUGCAUAGUCAAUACUCUGGCAGAGAACAAGGAGAAGAGGCAGGCUAGAAAUAGAGAGUCUAAUUGCAGAAGGUAGGAACAGGUGAGGGGAAGAGAGGAUGACGAGAUGAGAAGCAGCUGGGAAUGAAUGAGCAGGUCUAAGUGUGUGUGUGUGUGUGUGUGUGAAGAAAGAGUUGGAAAGGAGAGCAGGAUAUAAUGUUCAUGACAACUUCAGGUUUUAAUUUACUUCUUUUGUUAAUUAAUCAGCACAGUCUGCUUACUUUCUAUUGGGAUUUUUUCAUUGUUGUCAUUAACACAAACAACAAAUACAAUUAGACACUGUUUAAAAAACACAUUUACUCAAAGAACUAUUUGAACUUCUAAACUAUUUUUAAUUCAAAGGAAGAUUUCUGAUUCCAGUUCUGUCUCAACUAGUAUGAAUUCAUUACUUCACAUUUCUAUAUGGAUUUAGCUUAUUCUUUCCAUCCUGUUAAGUAAUUAUCUGCGCUAUUAGGUUUGAAUUUGUGUUUUGGAAUCUCUCAUCUAGCUCCUUUUUGUAUUAUGACUAUUAACUAAAGUGAAUUUAUUUAUGUGUUUUUAAAUACGUAAUAUUACACAUCCUGAUCUCUUCAAGUGAAUCUUUUAAGGGCGGUUAUAGCAGAGAGUUGGUGCAACGUAUACAUUGUUUGAAUGGAUAAUUGUAAUGUUGGGUCCAAUACCAAAAAGACACACACACACCAAAAAUCCACCAUUUUGUAGUGAAUCUUGGGGGGUUGAGAUGUUUUUUCAAACGGGCAUCGUGACAACAGCCUGCCACAGAGUUUGGGUCAUCAGUGUAGUCGUUAAGCAGGCCGUAAUGGGCCGUGCGAGGCUGUUCUGCUCUGGCGCCGGGCCGGCUGACCUGUGGAUCACACCAACAUUAUCGGCCGACGGAUCGCACCAUUAUGCCCUUGAUGGAGGGGAACUGUGGAUGUGUCUGGAGGAGAUCGAAAAUGCGUUCCCAGUGUGCUGCCAAUCUGCAGACACGCCACAGGCAGAAGCACUAAAGGUCACAGCUGUCUGCGAUGCAGCAGAGACUAUCGAACGUGAGGGAAGAGAACCAAACAACGAUGAUUUGUCAUUCCGGGUGACUUCCUUACAAAAUGCAAUGCUUCUGUUGUCUAGAUGACUAAUAAGGCAGUUUUAAAAUAAAAAUAGAAACUCCAAUGAUACAACAUUGUCUUGUGAAAUGAAAUAAAUAAUCAACCCUGACCUGCGGCGUUGUUGUAUUCCAGCAUUCUAUGUCUGCCAAUUAUUCAUUUACUCUAUCCACAUGAAAAGGUUUUUCAUGUUUUAGAUUAAUCAAAAUGAAUGCAGAAAACUUUCUUCAAUGAUGAUGAACC